rnacentral:rRNA from 1 species
UACGGGGGGUGCGAGCGUUAUUCGGAAUUAUUGGGCGUAAAGGGCGCGUAGGCGGCUCGAUAAGUCAAAGGUGAAAUCCCUCAGCUUAACUGGGGAACUGCGUCUGAGACUGGCGAGCUUGAGUGCAGGAGAGGAACGCGGAAUUCCAGGUGUAGCGGUGAAAUGCGUAGAUAUCUGGAGGAACACCGGUGGCGAAGGCGGCGUUCUGGACUGCAACUGACACUGAGAAACGAAAGCCAGGGGAGCAAACGGG